GAUGAACGCUGGCGGCGUGCCUAAUACAUGCAAGUCGAGCGAACAGACGAGGAGCUUGCUCCUCUGACGUUAGCGGCGGACGGGUGAGUAACACGUGGAUAACCUACCUAUAAGACUGGGAUAACUUCGGGAAACCGGAGCUAAUACCGGAUAAUAUAUUGAACCGCAUGGUUCAAUAGUGAAAGACGGUUUUGCUGUCACUUAUAGCUGGAUCCGCGCCGCAUUAGCUAGUUGGUAAGGUAACGGCUUACCAAGGCAACGAUGCGUAGCCGACCUGAGAGGGUGAUCGGCCACACUGGAACUGAGACACGGUCCAGACUCCUACGGGAGGCAGCAGUAGGGAAUCUUCCGCAAUGGGGGAAAGCCUGACGGAGCAACGCCGCGUGAGUGAUGAAGGUCUUCGGAUCGUAAAACUCUGUUAUUAGGGAAGAACAAAUGUGUAAGUAACUAUGCACGUCUUGACGGUACCUAAUCAGAAAGCCACGGCUAACUACGUG
rnacentral:rRNA from 1 species